ensembl:lncRNA
UAUUUUUUUAAUUAUUUUAAUUUUAAAAUCAUUAGUUUCAAUAAUUAUUUAUAAUAUUAUAUUGAUUGAUAAUUAACGGCUAAUAAAUUAUUAAUUAAUUAGCGUAAUUAAUUAAAUUUAAAAACAAUGGGGAUAGAGCUAUGACCGAGAUAUAGGAGCAGAGAUCUAAAGAUCCCAGGAAGAAUAAUCGAUGGCAGAGAUGUUGAGUGAUGGUCCCGUCUGCCCAGGGAACACAAUCAAUGACCGAGACGGUGAGCCUUGACCGCUGCGCUCACCUCAGUCCAGGAGAAACAGUCCUCGGACUGAGACGGUGGGUGGGGAUCGUCUUUUUCCAAGUUUUAUUACAAGCAGAGUUUGAAAUGCGGGACUUUCCAUUCCACCCUCUGGCCCAGGAAUGCUUUGCUGGCCCAGAGAGUCAAGAUUUCCUGGCAGAGGGAGCUCCUGAGAAUAUGGUUGAGCAGGGAAUAGAUCAAGCUUGUUUUGUUUGGCGCGGGGGUUGGGGGGGCGGUGGGCUCCUAUAAUUCCCUUCAUAGCUCGGUGGUAAAGAAACCUCGUGCAAUGCAGGAGGCCCGGGUUCGAUCCCUGGGUCGGGAAGAUGCCCUGGAGGAGGGCAUGGCAACCCACUGCAGUAUCCUUGUCUGGAGAAUCCCAGGGAGAGCGGAGCCUGGCGGGGCUACAGCCCAUGGGGUCGCACAAUCGGACGCGACCGAGCACACACUCCUGGUAUGGAAACAAACGGGUGCUUUGUGCAGCCUGUAUGGUCUUUUACGAAGCUCCUCCCCUGAGACCUUGUAUCCCUCUAAGAUCGCCGGCUCUGAUGAUGCGGUUGCCCGGCAGUUUGCUAACGCUGGGUGUGUUUACACUGCUGGAUUUCCCGUCCAGGGUCCUCAAACUCCACACGUGGCGACAGGCCUCUGACAGGACCCCACCUCUGACGGCAGGACAGCUGCUUUGCAGACUUGAAACGAAGCACCACCGCCCGAGAGUCUGUUCACGUCCUAUGAAUGAAGCAUCGCUGUGAUUUCAAAAAUGAAGACCCGUUCACGACAUCCUCACCUGGUGUCUUUCUCGUCCUCCCGGGGAGCCUGAGGCAGUUCUUAUGAUGACCAGCUGCUCUGGAGACAGCAUCCGCCAGUAAUCUCAUCGUUAUGGGAGUAACUCAAGUUUUCCAUACUCGGGAAAACAAUGCAGUGAUUCAGCUUUCCCAGCAAAAUCGAAUAAGACCCAAAGACAAACGGUGAUCCAUUAAAAAAAAAACAACUUAGAUGUCCUAAGGAGCUUUUAGUAAAACUACUGAAAAAGUUGAAAGUGAUGCAUAAAAAUUCUAGAAAUAUUAGCUUUAAAUUUGAUCGAUUUAAAAUGGUGGUUUAGUUGCUAAGUCGUGUCUGACUCUGGGGAUCCCAUGGACUGUAGCCCACCAGGCUCCUCUGCCCAAGGGAUUCUCCAAGCAAAAAUACUGGAGUGGGUUGCCAUUUCCUUCACUAGGGGAUCUUCUUGUCCUAGGGAUUGAACCCGGGUCUCCCUGCAUUGCAGGCCGAUUCUUUACAGUCUGAGCCACCAAGGAAGUUGGAAUGUCCAUUAAUGUAUGUAGUUCACGGAGUGGCAAAGAGUUGGACACAACUUAGUCACUGAACCACAAAAUUAAUGUAAGUUAUAUUUAUUUUCAUACUUUAGUUUUCACUAAAGUUUUGCUUCUAGGCAAAAGGCAAAACAAACUUUUCACCAUCAAGGAAAUUUUGUUUUUAAAAGGGAAGGCUGAGAAGAGGAGUUUAUGGGAUACUUCCAAAAUAUGGUGUAUAUAAUUAAAUGUGAUUGUUUAGAGGGUAUUAGGUCGUGCUUACGGGAAAAAGGAUCAGCUUUCUCAUAGUUUGUUACAUAGAAAACCCACAAA